rnacentral:lncRNA from 1 species
AGCUUUUGGAGCAAGGAGCAUACUUAUCUUGAACAAAAUUCAAAUAUCGAGGCUCGAGGUUAACAAAAUUCAGUCGUGGGAAAGAGAGAGAGAUGAGAGACUUCCAUGAUUUAAGUGGUUCAUUUGGUUUUGCUGUGUUGUUAUCAGGUUGGGUCAACGUUGUAACUUUGUUGACCAGGUCGCUGGUGCCGGGUUUGGGGCUGUCGGUGCUGGGUUGUAGUUGGUUUGCUGGAACGGGUGUUGUUUUUGGCUGUUGCUACUGUUGUACGUAUUGUUGUUGU